rnacentral:rRNA from 1 species
GAUGAACGCUAGCGGCAGGCCUAACACAUGCAAGUCGAGGGGUAGAACACUUCGGUGUUUGAGACCGGCGCACGGGUGCGUAACGCGUAUGCAAUCUACCUUAUACAGGGGAAUAGCCCAGAGAAAUUUGGAUUAAUGCCCCAUAGCAUUACGACUUGGCAUCAAGAUGUAAUUAAAGUUCCAACGGUAUAAGAUGAGCAUGCGUCCCAUUAGUUAGUUGGUAAGGUAACGGCUUACCAAGACAAUGAUGGUUAGGGGUCCUGAGAGGGAGCUCCCCCACACUGGUACUGGGACACGGACCAGACUCCUACGGGAGGCAGCAGUGAGGAAUAUUGGUCAAUGGGCGCAAGCCUGAACCAGCCAUGCCGCGUGCAGGAAGACGGUCCUAUGGAUUGUAAACUGCUUUUAUACAGGAGGAAACCCUCCCACGUGUGGGAGCUUGACGGUACUGUAGGAAUAAGGAUCGGCUAACUCCGUGCCAGCAGCCGCCGUAAAAC